rnacentral:rRNA from 1 species
AUGGGUAGGGGAGCUUCCCAUACGGGUUGAAGCAUGACCGUAAGGACAUGUGGACAGGAUGGGAGUGAGAAUGUUGGCAUGAGUAGCGAGAUGUGGGUGAGAAUCCCACAGGCCGUAAACCCAAGGUGUCCAGGGGAAGGUUCGUCCGCCCUGGGUUAGUCGGGACCUAAGCUGAGGCCGAAAGGCGUAGGUGAUGGACAACAGGUUGAUAUUCCUGUACUACCGAUAACCGUUUGAGAGAGGGGAUGACACAGUAGGAUAAGCUAAGCACACUGUUGGUUAUGUGUGCCCAAGCAUUGAGGCAGUCAAAGUAGGCAAAUCCGCUUUGAUAAUGCUGGGAUGUGAUGGGGAGCGAAAUUUAGUAGCGAAGUAGCUGAUUUCACACUGUCAAGAAAAGUCUCUAUCGAGGUUAAAGGUACCCGUACCGCAAACCGACACAGGUGGGUGAGGAGAGUAUCCUAAGGCCAGCGAGAGAACUGUUGUUAAGGAACUCGGCAAAAUGACCCCGUAACUUAGGGAUAAGGGGUGCCACCAUCAGGUGGCCGCAGAGAAUAGGCCCAAGCGACUGUUUACCAAAAACAUAGGUUUCUGCUAAGUCGCAAGACGAUGUAUAGG